rnacentral:rRNA from 1 species
UACGUAGGGGGCAAGCGUUGUCCGGAUUUAUUGGGCGUAAAGAGCGUGUAGGCGGCCAGGUAGGUCUGCUGUGAAAACUCGAGGCUUAACCUCGAGCUGUCGGCGGAAACCAUCUGGCUAGAGUCCGGAAGAGGAGAAUGGAAUUCCCGGUGUAGCGGUGAAAUGCGCAGAUAAUCGGGAGAACACCCGUGGCGGAAAGGCGGUUCCUCUGGGACGGUACUGGACGGCUGAGACGCGAAAGCGUGGGGAGCGAACAGG